ensembl:Mt_tRNA
AAGAUACUAGUAUAAUUGAACAAUACCCUGCCUUGUCAAGGCAAAAUUGUAGGUUGAAAUCCUGCGUAUCUUG